AUUGAACGCUGGCGGCAGGCCUAACACAUGCAAGUCGAACGAGUGGCGGACGGGUGAGUAAUGUAUGGGAAACUGCCUGAUGGAGGGGGAUAACUACUGGAAACGGUAGCUAAUACCGCAUACAAUCGGAUGUGCCCAUAUGGGAGUAGCUAGUAGGGGGGGUAAAAGCUCACCUAGGCGACGAUCCCUAGCUGGUCUGAGAGGAUGACUAUCCACACUGGAACAGAGACACGGUCCAGACUCCUACGGGAGGACGCAGUGGGGAAUAUUGCACAAUGGGCGCAAGCCUGAUGCUGCCAUGCAGCGUGUGUGAAGAAGGCCUUCGGGUUGUAAAGUACUUUCAGCGGGGAGGCGUUACCCGCAGAAGAAGCACCGGCUAACUCCGUGCCAGCUGCCGCGGUAAUUC
rnacentral:rRNA from 1 species